GAUCCGAAGAUUUCCGAAUGAGGAAACUCACUUAGAGUAAUGUCUAAGUAUCAUUAAGUGAAUACAUAGCUUAAUGAGGGGAACUCAGGGAACUGAAACAUCUAAGUACCUGAAGGAAGAGAAAGAAAUUCGAUUCCGUAAGUAGCGGCGAGCGAACGCGGAUUAGCCCAAACCAAUAAAGUUUUCUUUAUUGGGGUUGAGGACAUACCACAUAUAAGAGGUCAUUAUAGACGAAGAAGUUUGGAAAAACUCAUCAUAGAAGGUAAUAAUCCUGUAGUCAAAAUAAUAAUUCUUUAGGUAUGAUCCAGAGUACCACGGGACACGUGAAACCCUGUGGGAAGCAGGAGGGACCACCCUCCAAGGCUAAAUACUACCUAGUGACCGAUAGCGUAUAGUACCGUGAGGGAAAGGUGAAAAGAACCCCGGGAGGGGAGUGAAAUAGAACCUGAAACCCUGCACUUACAAG
rnacentral:rRNA from 1 species